rnacentral:rRNA from 1 species
AUUGAACGCUGGCGGCGUGCCUAAUACAUGCAAGUCGAACGCAGUGGGGACGGGUGAGUAACACGUGGGUAACCUCCCAUCAGAGGGGAUAACACUUGGAAACAGGUGCUAAACCGAUACUGAUGGAUGGACCCGCGGUGCAUUAGCUAGUUGGUGAGGUAACGGCUCACCAAGGCCACGAUGCAUUGACGGCCGGAGAGGGGGAGCGGCCAAACGGGGAAUGAGACACGGCCCAGACUCCUACGGGAGGCAGCAGUAGGGAAUCGUCGGCAAUGGAAGAAAGGCUGACCGAGCAACGCCGCGUUAGUGAAGAAGGUUUGCGGAUCGUAAAACUCUGUUGUUAGAGAAGCGGUAUCUAACCAGAAAGCCACGGCUAACUACGUGCCAGCCGCCGCGGUAAUAC